rnacentral:rRNA from 1 species
AGCGAACGCUGGCGGCAUGCCUAACACAUGCAAGUCUGACGGGCUUCGGGUUUCGGCCUGGGGUCAGUGGCGGACGGGUGAGGAGCGCGUAGGAACGUAUCCAAGGGUGGGGGACAACCGCGGGAAACUGCGGCUAAGACCGCAUGCGGCCUGAGGGCCAAAGCCGGGCGAGAGUUCGGCGCCGAUGGAGCGGCCUGCGUCCGAUUAGCUGGUUGGUGGGGUAACGGCCUACCAAGGCGGUGAUCGGUAGCUGGUCUGAGAGGAUGAUCAGCCACACUGGGACUGAGACACGGCCCAGACUCCUACGGGAGGCAGCAGUGGGGAAUAUUGGACAAUGGGCGCAAGCCUGAUCCAGCAAUGCCGCGUGGGUGAAGAAGGUCUUCGGAUUGUAAAGCCCUUUCGGCGGGGACGAUGAUGACGGUACCCGCAGAAGAAGCCCCGGCUAACUUCGUGCCAGCAGCCGCCGCAGUAAAC